rnacentral:rRNA from 1 species
UGGGGAAUAUUGGACAAUGGGCGAAAGCCUGAUCCAGCCAUGCCGCGUGUGUGAAGAAGGUCUUCGGAUUGUAAAGCACUUUAAGUUGGGAGGAAGGGCAGUAAGCGAAUACCUUGCUGUUUUGACGUUACCGACAGAAUAAGCACCGGCUAACUCUGUGCCAGCAGCCGCGGUAAUACAGAGGGUGCAAGCGUUAAUCGGAAUUACUGGGCGUAAAGCGCGCGUAGGUGGUUCGUUAAGUUGAAUGUGAAAGCCCCGGGCUCAACCUGGGAACUGCAUCCAAAACUGGCGAGCUAGAGUAGAGCAGAGGGUGGUGGAAUUUCCUGUGUAGCGGUGAAAUGCGUAGAUAUAGGAAGGGACACCAGUGGCGAAGGCGACCACCUGGGCUCAUACUGACACUGAGGUGCGAAAGCGUGGGGAGCAAACAGG